AAUGGGGGAAACCCUGACCCAGCAACGCCGCGUGAAGGAAGAAGGUUUUCGGAUUGUAAACUUCUGUCCUUGGUGAAGAGAAGAAGACGGUACCAAAAGAGGAAGCCACGGCUAACUACGUGCCAGCAGCCGCGGUAAUACGUAGGUGGCGAGCGUUGUCCGGAAUUACUGGGCGUAAAGGGCGCGUAGGCGGCCUGUUAAGUCAGAUGUGAAACCCCCAGGCUCAACUUGGGGAUUGCAUAUGAAACUGAUGGGCUCGAGUGUCGGAGAGGAAAGCGGAAUUCCUAGUGUAGCGGUGAAAUGCGUAGAUAUUAGGAGGAACACCAGUGGCGAAGGCGGCUUUCUGGACGAUAACUGACGCUGAGGCGCGAAAGCGUGGGGAGCAAA
rnacentral:rRNA from 1 species